UGGGAAUUUGGACAAUGGGCGCAAGCCUGAUCCAGCCAUGCCGCGUGCGGGAAGAAGGCCUUCGGGUUGUAAACCGCUUUUGUCAGGGAAGAAAUCUUCUGAGUUAAUACCUCGGGAGGAUGACGGUACCUGAAGAAUAAGCACCGGCUAACUACGUGCCAGCAGCCGCGGUAAUACGUAGGGUGCAAGCGUUAAUCGGAAUUACUGGGCGUAAAGCGUGCGCAGGCGGUUUUGUAAGACAGAGGUGAAAUCCCCGGGCUCAACCUGGGAACUGCCUUUGUGACUGCAAGGCUUGAGUGCGGCAGAGGGGAUGGAAUUCCGCGUGUAGCAGUGAAAUGCGUAGAUAUGCGGAGGAACACCGAUGGCGAAGGCAAUCCCCUGGGCCUGCACUGACGCUCAUGCACGAAAGCGUGGGGAGCAAACAGGAUUAGAUACCCUGGUAGUCCACGCCCUAAACGAUGUCAACUGGUUGUUGGGAAGGUUCCUUCUCAGUAACGUAGCUAACGCGUGAAGUUGACCGCCUGGGGAGUACGGCCGCAAGGUUG
rnacentral:rRNA from 1 species